UACGUACCGCCAACGACCGUG
rnacentral:siRNA from 1 species